AUAAUACCUACAUACUUCACAAAACAAUCCUACCACAUAAAUUUUAAUAGAAUCUUCGACCGACAGUGGAAACAUCCAUCUUCUCCACGUAUCCCUCGCUGGGUUCACUUGUCUGAUGUGCCUUCAUGUUGGCGGGAUCAAACACAAAGACAUCGCCCAACUCGCUGGUUAUCCAGAUCGCAUUGCCAGCCGGUUUUCCCACCAUAGUGUUGAUCUGGCUACAGACUGACGACAGGUGGGACAACCAGUCCUCCAUUUCCGAGUCACUGGAGAACUGUAGCUUAACGGGCGAACAGUUUACGGGAAGAUGAGGAGCAUGAAUAGCGAUCCGCGGUGCUCCGGCUUCACUGCAGCACUGAACACAGGUGAUGUCUGACAACGGGAACUGAAUCUUCGUGGCGGCUCCAUCCGGACUAAGUACCGUAAAAGUUCCAGAGUCCCCGGAUCGCGAGUUUUCACUACUAUUUGUGUCAGUGCCACUGCCACUGCUUACCCACUCAAGUUCGAUGAUACAAUCCUCAAACUCGCCUCCAGGUCGCUGAUAGCGCGCAUCCGCCGAUUUGACCCACGAAGAAAGCUCCACUGCCUUCUCGAACUUGGCCACAGUCUGAAGCUUGGCCAGUUUCUCCUGACGUCGCUGCAACUUGUUCACAAUAUCCUUUCGCCAAUUGGCAUUCACGUCCACUUUACUGUCGCUCGUCUGCUCGUUAAACCAAUUGGGCAUGUUGCUGGCAUCCACAGUCACAGCACCUGAAGCUACGCAGCUCCAUAGUAUCCCGCAUUCUGUCCAAAAUUGUGAUCCCGUAUGGUCGUCAUCUUCUCCCAGAAACACAUCCGAUCCAUGGUGCGUGGAGUCCGACUCAAACACGGUCGAAUCGCUCUCUGGAUGCGCUUCAGUGCCCACGACGGACCCAACACUUCGGACGGGAGACCAAGCUCUUGGAUUCCUCAGCUGGGUCUCAAACUUGCCAGUUACCACCUCCACCACAUCCGCUGCGGGAGCACUGGAAGCAUGUGAAGUUUCGCGAAGCGCCGCCGUUCUCUGCUUGUGGCGAUCGUUGAGAUUCAGACUUCCAAUUGUCGGAGGUGAAUCGGCACUGAGUUUCCAACGUUCGUUCUUAAGAAGACCAGGUGGACCGCCAUUACUAGAGCAGGAGCCCGUAGAGCUGUUGAGCACAGUUUCUAUAACUGCACACGUCUCUACCACACCCUUCUCCUUCUCCUUGGAGUACAAAUUGGAGAAGCUCUGGUGCUUUGAGCCUGGCGUUGAACUACUUCCGCCGCUUUUACGAGAGACUAUGGAUAGAGAGCUAGAAGUGCGGCUGAUUUGCAUGGGACAUUGAAUUAAACGCCAUUUUUUGCCAGUAGGGUCGGCAGAGGUCACCCCAGAGCGGUGGUACAAACAACGGUCAGCGGCUCCAAUGGCAAAGACCUGCGAAAGAGUAUGUUCAUAUCUAAGAUAAUUGGGUAGAUCUAACACUGGUUUACCUGAUCGUUGGCCGCCACAGAGACCAUUGAAAUGUUUCCCACCAUUUCCACCCAGCCCUUGCCAAUGGCCGAAUCCUCGCUUAUGCCCGCUGCUUCACCCUUGACGCCUCUCCUGAACCAGGCGUGAUGAUCAUUGGUUACACACCACACAGCAUCGGUGCCCACGGAAACGUGAACAAUGCGCAAGCUACUGGCGGCCACGGGGGUUUUGACAUCCAACCACGAGUCACCGACUAGGUUGUCUCUGGUUACACCAGUACGUACGAUAACUCGGCCGUUAUGGAGUACCGCCCAUACCAAUCCUGUGGGUCCCACGCUGAUCUGCGCGAGUUCACUGCCCGUGGGCGUGGGUACAGCUGUCCAGCGAAGACCCUCGGGCGCCGUUUUGGACACCCCCGUGCGAAACAUAGCCCUGCCAUGGGCGGUAAUGGCCCAGACACACAAAGUGCCGGCAGGAGCGUUGGGAACACAAGUGCCGCCUAUAGCCACGUCUAUGAAGGGCUCCUGCGUGGGAUCCUUGUGUAGUGGUGCCACCGCGCACCAGCUAUUCAAGGCUGCAUACCUCCUAUAUCUCACCCACUUGCGUCGUCGCACAUACGAGUUCCAAGACUUCUUUGCCGAGUACGUGGCCGGAAAGUCCAGGGCGUACAUCCAGCCAUCCUCGGUCAGCGGCUGUCCAUCGAGCUCUAAGUCCAGGUGCCAGUCGCCGUCCCAUUGCCACGCCAUCGAGGGCAGUCGGAUUUUGUCCACACCACGCUCCACACUGCCAUCGGCGGAGGAAUAUCUGUACCGAUCAGUGGGCAGCAGCGUCUUCGAAAAUCCUUCGAUGGGCAGCCAGCGCUCGUUCUCGUACGACUCCUCCCGAAUCCGAAUGGGCACGUCCAGACCGUGCACAUGAACGUACACCUGGCGGUCGCCGCCAAUGGCCCACAAAAAGUUGGGCACAGCGCAGAUCUUCUUGAACUCCAAUCCCAGAUAGGGAAGUUCGCGCCACGCUCCGGAGUUGGUGGACAGCGUGUAGACGCGCCCUUCACUGCUGGCGGCGAAUAGGUAGAAGCUCGGCAUCCUGAGAUCUAUUACUAAAGACCAAGGGGCCUCUUUCUGUCUGGCAUCGUGUUUACAAUCAAAUUGGAAAAAUUGAUUUUUCUGAAGAAUAGACCUAGACAGUCAGUGAUGGCACACCUGUUUUCCGAGUCCUAAGCGAUAGUAUCGUUGUGGUUGUUGUGUUUCCACUAAAAACAGCCAAAAUGCAAAUGUUUAAUAUUUUAUUUUUAUAUCUUAAAAUUGUUGUUUAUUUCGAAGCCCGUUUAAAAUAAAGCAUGUCAGAAAAUUAUGUGUU
ensembl:ncRNA asRNA:CR43872 antisense RNA:CR43872